rnacentral:rRNA from 1 species
AUUGAACGCUGGCGGCAUGCUUUACACAUGCAAGUCGAACGGUAACAGGCCUUCUGGUGCUGACGAGUGGCGCACGGGUGCGUAAUGCAUCGGAACGUGCCCAGAGGUGGGGGUUAACGCAGCGAAAGCUGUGCUAAUACCGCAUGUGAUCUGAGGAUGAAAGCGGGGGACCAAGCAGCAGUGUUUGGCCUCGCGCCUCUGGAGCGGCCGAUGUCGGAUUAGGUAGUUGGUGGGGUAAAGGCCUACCAAGCCGACGAUCUGUAGCUGGUCUGAGAGGACGACCAGCCACACUGGGACUGAGACACGGCCCAGACUCCUACGGGAGGCAGCAGUGGGGAAUGUUGGACAAUGGGCGCAAGCCUGAUCCAGCAAGGCCGCGUGCGGGAAGAAGGCCUUCGGGUUGUAAACCGCUUUUGUACGGAAAGAAAAGGCGCUGGCUAAUACCUGGGGCUGAUGACGGUACCGGAAGAAUAAGCACCGGCUAACUACGUG